AUUGAACGCUGGCGGCAGGCUUAACACAUGCAAGUCGAGCGAGCGGCGGACGGGUGAGUAAUGUCUGGGAAACUGCCUGAUGGAGGGGGAUAACUACUGGAAACGAUAGCUAUACCGCAUACAAUAGGAUUAACCCAUAUGGGAUUAGCUAGUAGGGGGGGUAAAGGCUCACCUAGUCGAAGAUCUCUAGCUGGUCUGAUAGGAUGAUCAGCCACACUGGAACUGAGACAAGGCCCAGACUCCUACGGGAGGCAGCAGUGGGGAAUAUUGCACAAUGGGCGCAAGCCUGAUGCAGCCAUGCCGCGUGUAUGAAGAAGGCCUUAGGGUUGUAAAGUACUUUCAGCGGGGAGGCGUUACCCGCAGAAGAAGCACCGGCGAACUCCGGGCCAGCCGCCGCGGUAAUUC
rnacentral:rRNA from 1 species